rnacentral:tRNA from 5 species
GCCCGGAUGGCGAAACUGGUAGACGCAAGGGACUUAAAAUCCCUCGAUGGCAACAUCGUGCCGGUUCGAUUCCGGCUCCGGGCACCA